ensembl:lncRNA
AUGUGUGGAUUUCUUGCAGGUGAGCACAGGGUGGCAGCUGCUCCCUGCAGUGUUUUCCUGCUCGGGUCAGUCUCUCCUGGGGAAGCAAUGACAGAAACUAGGCCAGAUGGUGCGGGAGAGAGAGAGAGAGACAGAGCGGGCCGCUCUCAACCUGACCAACUGCACCACAUUCAAGGCUUUGAUCUAAAAUUGGCCUCUGUAGAAGACUUGUGUACAGUCAUUUUCAUAUGGGCUUUGAACAUAUUGAAAGGGCUCAUAGCUGCCGUCGCUUUUAUCCUCUGAUUCCUUUUCCCUUGGAAACGACGAGCAUAUGGCAAACACCCUCACUGGAUUCUCAGACAACGGGAGGGACCGUAUUCCGAUUCCUGCAUCCUGUCAUCGGCGAAUCCCAGGGUGCUACCCGAACCCUCCCUCCCGCGCACACGCAGCACAAACACACCGUCUCCUCCAGACUUUGAAAUGCGCUCUGCAUUUGUCUGACAUCCUUAAACUGGAACACAAUGCUCUAAUCUCUCUCUCAUUUUACCUUGUUUUUACCUGAACUCACUUGCUUUUGAUUCUACCUAUUUUGAAAAGUUAAAACUGUUAAAAUUUGUAAAUUCUAACAUUCUUAUGAGUGGCAUUUAAUGAAGUUUAAGCCAUUAUUCACUAUAAAUCUUCUAAAAACCUCAUUCGCAUUCAUAUUCAAAUUGAGGUGUUGCAUCAUGUUUGCUGUCAUUGACACCAAACGUUUUUUUCUUUUUCUUUCUUUUUUUUCUUGUAUGUACCUUUUUGGAGCUUGGUGAAUGUGGAAAAAUAAAUAAUUUCAUCAUCUAGUGAACUAUUCCUUU